CUCUGAAAAAUCCCAGGGCUCAGGCCACAAUAACAAUAGCCUGAAUACUGGCACAGGUGUGUAAUGAAUGGUUUGAAGCUUCCUCUGUGGAGUGAGACUCACUCGUUCAACUGCUUCUUGAGCAAGAUGUCUGUGGUAGGUAGAAUAAUGCUUCUCCAGUAGUGUUCACAUCUUAAGCUCUGAAAUUUGUGAAUAUGUUACCUCAGUGGUCAAAAGGAACUUUGCAGAUAAGAUUAUGAUAAAGAUCUUGAGAUGAGGAGGUUAUCCUGAAUUAUCCAAGGGGAUCUUCAUAUAAUCACCUGGUCCUUAAAAUAGAAAGGGCAAAAGUGUCAGAGUCAUAGAAGAUAUGAUGACAGAAACAGAAGAUCAGAGUCAGAGGGAUAUGAAGAUCCUCUUUGAGACAGAGAAAGAGACCACAAGCCAAGAAAUGAAGGCACCCAAUGGAAACUGGAGAAAGGCAAGCAAAAGGAUGCUCCCCUAAAGCUACCAGAGUGGGAACAGCCCUGCCAACAUCUUGACCUUGGCUCAGUGAAAUCCGUGUUGAACUUCUCACUUCUGAGUUUCUGGGACCUCCCUUGGCUGGGGCCAGGGAGAGGAAGAAAUCAGGAAGGAUCAAGGCCAAGUACUUCAUGAAAUGGACAAGUGAAGAAAAAAUAAGUUGUCUACAUCUCAGCAUUUAAAGGGAUUCAGCAUCACAGGUGCAUCCAAUCCAUACAGGCAAGAAGCCUCUUCCAUCAGCCCUGCCAGCUGAGGAUAGAAGAAAGUGGACAAGCAUCCCUCAGAACCUUCUCAGUGUGUCACCCAAGCACAUAAGACCUGGGAUGUCCGUAACAAAGCUGUCCUCCCUCCAGUAGUUACAGCCAAGAUUCCUGUCCCUCAGCGCUUCUGGGCCUAGACACAUGUCCUCCAGAGAGCCUUACUUCUGGAGGAAAAACAUUUACCUGAUGUGGUUUGUGUGGGCUCCCUAGAGCUCCCAAUUAGCUGAGCAGGAAAGAGCUCUGAUAAUUUGUUGAGUUUACUGCAUUGCUUCUGGGAAAAAGGAACAUUUGCCCACAUUGAUUACCAGAUCCCAUUGUUGUUGCACUUGGGGUAGAUCUGCAUCUGAGGAGUCCCCGGGAAGAAGCCAGCA